GAUGAACGCUGGCGGCGUGCCUAAUACAUGCAAGUCGAGCGAACGGACGAGAAGCUUGCUUCUCUGAUGUUAGCGGCGGACGGGUGAGUAACACGUGGAUAACCUACCUAUAAGACUGGGAUAACUUCGGGAAACCGGAGCUAAUACCGGAUAAUAUUUUGAACCGCAUGGUUCAAAAGUGAAAGACGGUCUUGCUGUCACUUAUAGAUGGAUCCGCGCUGCAUUAGCUAGUUGGUAAGGUAACGGCUUACCAAGGCAACGAUGCAUAGCCGACCUGAGAGGGUGAUCGACCACACUGGAACUGAGACACGGUCCAGACUCCUACGGGAGGCAGCAGUAGGGAAUCUUCCGCAAUGGGCGAAAGCCUGACGGAGCAACGCCGCGUGAGUGAUGAAGGUCUUCGGAUCGUAAAACUCUGUUAUUGGGGAAGAACAUAUGUGUAAGUAACUGUGCACAUCUUGACGGUACCUAAUCAGAAAGCCACGGCUAACUACGUG
rnacentral:rRNA from 1 species